rnacentral:rRNA from 1 species
UGCUUAGAUAUCACACAGAACACCGAUUGCGAAGGCAGCACACUAAGUCAUUAUUGACGCUGAGGCACGAAAGUGUGGGGAUCAAACAGGAUUAGAUACCCUGGUAGUCCACACUGUAAACGAUGAUAACUCGCUGUCGGCGAUACACAGUCGGUGGCCAAGCGAAAGCAUUAAGUUAUCCACCUGGGGAGUACGACCGCAAGGUUGAAACUCAAAGGAAUUGACGGGGGCCCGCACAAGCGGAGGAACAUGUGGUUUAAUUCGAUGAUACGCGAGGAACCUUACCCGGGCUCGAACGGUGCAUGAAUAUACGAGAGAUUGUAUAGUCCUUCGGGACAUGUAUCGAGGUGCUGCAUGGUUGUCGUCAGCUCGUGCCGUGAGGUGUCGGCUUAAGUGCCAUAACGAGCGCAACCCUUGUCAUUAGUUGCCAUCAGGUCAAGCUGGGGACUUUAAUGAGACUGCCACCGUAAGGUGUGAGGAAGGGGGGGAUGACGUCAAAUCAGCACGGCCCUUAUGUCCGGGGCGACACACGUGUUACAAUGGGAGGUACAGAGGGCAGCUAUCCGGUGACGGAAUGCUAAUCUCCAAAACCUUUCUCAGUUCGGAUUGGAGUCUGCAACUCGACUCCAUGAAGGUGGAUUCGCUAGUAAUCGCGCAUCAGCCACGGCGCGGUGAAUACGUUCCCGGGCCUUGUACACACCGCCCGUCAAGCCAUGGAAGCCGAGGGUACCUGAAGUAUGUAACCGCAAGGAGCGUCCUAGGGUAAGAUCGGUGAUCUGGGGCUAAGUCGUAACCAAGGUAACCNAAAGGGCGAAUCGUAACCCGC